rnacentral:rRNA from 1 species
CCCUUAGAUGUUCUGGGCCGCACGCGCGCUACACUGAUUCAUGCAACAAGUUUUGUCCUUGGCUGAUAGGCCUGGGUAAUCUUUGAACGUGAAUCGUGAUGGGGAUAGAUGAUUGCAAUUAUUCAUCUUCAACGAGGAAUUCCUAGUAAACGCAAGUCAUCAGCUUGCAUUGAUUACGUCCCUGCCCUUUGUACACACCGCCCGCCGCACCUACCGAUUGAAUGGUCCGGUGAAAUCUUCGGAUCUGAGAGAUGUCUGAUUAAUUUCGGACGCCUUUUGGAAAAGUUGUUUAAACCUUACCAUUUAGAGGAAGGUGAAGUCGUANCA